rnacentral:rRNA from 1 species
GACGAACGCUGGCGGCGUGGAUUAGGCAUGCAAGUCGGACGGUAGGGCUUUAUCGUAAGAUAGAGUUUGAGAGUGGCGAACGGGUGAGUAACACGUAGGUUAUCUACCCUCAAGACGGGGACAACCCAGGGAAACUUGGGCUAAUACCGGAUGUGAGCAACUUUUAGUUGUUUGAAAGGUGGCGUAAGCUGUCGCUUGGGGAUGAGCCUGCGUCCUAUUAGUUAGUUGGUGAGGUAACGGCUCACCUAGGCAAUGAUAGGUAGGCGGCCUUAACGGGUGGUCGCCCACACUGGGAUUGAGAUACGGCCCAGACUCCUACGGGAGGCAGCAGUCGAGAAUAGUCUACAAUGGUCGGAAGACUGAUAGUGCGACGCCGCGUGAACGAUGAAUCCCUUCGGGGUGUAAAGUUCUUUUAUAUGUGAGCAGUGCUUCUUAUAUUAACAGUAUGGGGAGAGAGAUAUUAGCAUAUGAAUAAGCAACGGCUAACUCCGUGCCAGCAGCCGCGGUAA